ACAGUCCUCGUCUCCUGGAGUUAUUUCAAUCCAAGAGAGGGAAUGUUGGACAGUUGUUGACACAGAUUUCACAACAGACCAAUGCAAGUCCAUACACAUUCUGUACUUGGCGUUGUUUAUCUCAGGUUUUGUAUAAACAUCAUAUCACAAUGCUACUCUAUUAGUUGUAUAAUUCAAUCAAAACAUUGCUUGUUUUUUUUAAGCUUUCUUAUAGAUCAUUAUUUGUUUUUUAUUUUAGCUAGCUAACUUGUUGUACUGUGUUUAAUUCUCAAAAGACUACAGAGCCAACUACGAUCCGGACACAAGUGCUCAGAGGGCUUCCUAUCAUCCUUGGGGACAACCCUACAAACUUCUUCAAAGCAAGCUUUGAAUCUGAUGAUGAUGAUUAUUUUCGUGACCUUGACGUUGGGAUUCUUCUUAUUGAGCGUGAAGGUGCUGUGCUCACGUCUUCCCAGCAUCUCAGUCCAGCCUCGUUGAAAAUCGUCAUUGAGGGAGAAGUUGUAAUGGAGAACAUUCAAGAUCUGCCAAAAGCAAUGUGCAUUUGGACUCAUGUAUGCACUUCAUCUUUACUACCGCAAGACCAUGAAGCUCACAUUUCAGUUCAUCCAACAGGUAUUGUUAUUGUUAGGCCAGACUGACCUAAAGCCAAAGCUACAGAGUUUGAAAAAUCAGCUCGCAAUGUAAAAAGAGAGGUCAAGUCUACUGUAAGAGGCGGUUGACUACAUUUUUCUUUUUGCCACACUAGUAAAAUACUUUCUUACCUGUGGGGUAAACCUUUUUAUUUUCUGUAAAACAAGCAGACGAACAGACACACGUAAAAUGCAGACACACACGUACAACACCCACACACAACACACACAAACAACACUGACACCCUUAAUUGCUGUAGGAAUCAUGCUGAAGGAUGUGACUUGUGUGAAAAUUAAAACUGAGAGGAGUUGUAGCAGAAAGACAUAGGCCUAAGACAUUAUUGUUCUAGUUCUUCACCAGUCUAUGUAGAUUGUUCUGAUAUGAUAGUCUGUUGGUUCAUGCUCUGUCCUUCCUUCAUUUAGGCAGAUGAUCAGAACAGAUCCUGUUUGUUUGCGUUUUCUUGUACAUUUGAGUGGGUGUUUCUGGUAAAUUUUAUUUUGUUUAUGGAUUUACCACUCAGGGGACAUCUAUGGUUUUAUCUUGUAAAUUAGAGACACAUACACCCACACACGGCAA